AUCUCUUCUCGGCCUUUUGGCUAAGAUCAAGUGUAGAAAUCGGAUGGUGUCAUCCCCACCCUAACUGCCUCACUGACUUCCCUAUGCACUUUAUUAUUUUUGGAGAGGUUUUUGCUAUAGGGUGCGUGCGCUCGCCAAAAAGACAGAGAGAGACAGAGAGACAAAAA
rnacentral:snRNA from 1 species